CCCCCUCCAAUGAGAAGGGAGGCAGAGAGUGGGAAAAGUGGCAACUCGGGUACAAAGGAGCAAAGAACGGUGAUUCAUAAGGAGGGUGGGAGAGCCAGGCCUGCCUGCCUCCACUCCUGCCACAGUAUAGAUUCCACGCCUGGCACUUACUUGGCAGGUGAACCACGAGGGCACUGACUGGCAGUUAUAAAGAUUUCUGAACUUUGAGACAGCAAGAUUGAUGCUGCAGGAAAGCAAAGGCCUUGAACAAUCAGCUUUGGCCUCGGGCUACACUGUUAACAUCAUGCCUUUAUUCUGGGACACAGAUGGACAAUAAAAGUCCUCCAGGAUUAAAAAAGGUAAGUAAUUCCAACUGCCUCUUCCAUCUUUUUUAGAUGCUUCGUGUUGUUCUGUCUUCAGCCCCUUAACAGAGUCGAGACUGAUUAUUUACAUUUUAGUGUGAUUGAGUUCUAUAGACAAGCCCAGGCUUGCUGGGCUAGCAGCCAGCUUACUCCCAAGGCAUCCUGGUGCCGUGGAGUGUGUGUAACUAAAAUCCCCGGCUACAGAUUUCAAAAGUGUUGCUUCCAAUUCUUUACAGUUACAUUAGAUACAACAAUUUAUACAAGAAUGAAAUAGAUUUGUGGGUUACCCUGGAA